rnacentral:rRNA from 1 species
AACGACUCUCGGCAACGGAUAUCUCGGCUCUUGCAUCGACGAAGAACGUAGCGAAAUGCGAUACUUGGUGUGAAUUGCAGAAUCCCGCGAACCAUCAAUUCUUUGAACGCAAGUUGAGCCCGAAGCCAUCAGGCCGAGGGAACGCCUGCCUGGGUGUCGUGA